rnacentral:misc_RNA from 1 species
GGAAGGAUCAUUCACACAUAAAAUCACCAUUACGUGAACCUGUAGUUCGGUGCAAAUCGAACUGCAAAUACAUUUGUUGGGUUUAUUAACAGGAUUUCUUAAGCUUUUAUGAAAUAUCAGCGAUGGAUGUCUUGGCUCCCAUAACGAUGAAGGACGCAGCAAAAUGCGAUACGCAUUGUGACUAGCAGAAUUCUUAGAAUCAAUAGAACGCUGAACGCAUACGGCGCUGUAGCUUGCUACAGCAGGUCUGUUUCAGAGUCAAUUACGAUCUCUCUACCAGUUUACUGGUUUGAGAGGCAAAGUACUGCUCGUGACUUCAGCUUCGGCUGCAGUUGUUGGCGGUCGCUCAGUUCUACAACUACUCCUUCUGGACAUGAUCGUAACUGAAAUUGUACAGGUUGAGUGCUAAUGUUGUAGCCAACUAAGUUAUAUGACCUGAAAUCAGACCAGGCUACCCGCUGGACUUAAGCAUAUCAUUAAGCGGAGGAAAAGAAAAUAACUAUGAUUCCCCCAGUAGAGGCGAUUGAACAGGGAAGAGCACAAAAUGUAAAUCUCUGCAGCAAUGCAGCGAAUUGUAGUCUCAAGUUGCGUUACCAGUGUCGUCGCAGGGUUAAUUUUCCUGGAAUGGAAGACCAUAGAGGGUGAGAGUCCCGUCUUGCUCUGCGAUCCGAUGCAUACGGUGCGUAAACAAAGAGUCGCGCUCCUUGGGAAUGGAGCGCUAAUCGGGUGGUAAAUGUCAUCCAAUGCUAAAUAUUGAUGGGAGACCGAUAGCGAACAAGUACCGUGAGGGAAAGAUGAAAAGAACUUUGAAAAGAGAGUUAAAAGUGCCUGAAAUCGCUGGUAUGGAAGCGGAUUGUAUUGCCAGUUUCGCGGGUUGCCCGUAGGGAAGGUGGAUCUGGUGUGUAGACCGCAAGGCUAUGCGCUGGUAUAAGCCCCUCGAAAGGUGUUCGAAGCGAUAACAAGUCUACGUCGGUUGUGGAUGCGUAAAAACCCCUGAAGGUUCGCUGGAGGGACGGACGACGCGACUGCUGCCGUUAGGCGUAAUGCUGUGUAGACGAAACGAUACAACCCGACCCGUCUUGAAACACGGACCAAGGAGUCUAACUUUUAUGCGAGUAUGCUGGUAGAACACCAGUGUGCGUAAUGAAAGUGAAAGGAUAGAAAUUUGCAUAUCCGACCGAUCGCAAGGGGGUUUACUUCCUUAUGGUUGAGUAUGAGCAUAAAGGUUAGGACCCGAAAGAUGGUGAACUAUGCCUGAAUAGGGUGAAGCCAGGGGAAACUCUGGUGGAGGCUCGUAGCGAUACUGACGUGCAAAUCGUUCGUCAAAUUUGGGUAUAGGGGCGAAAGACUAAUCGAACCAUCUAGUAGCUGGUUCCCUC